AGGCUCCAAAAACUCUUUCUUCUUCAAUCGACGACGGCUGGCCAAUCUUCAAAAAUCCCUCUUCAAAAACCCUAACCCCAAUCUUCCCCAUGCCCACCGCGGUGUCCGCUCUUAUUCUCUCAUCGACUGCUCCCUCACCAUCUUCUUCCUCUUCUUCUUCCUCCACUAGGGCACAACAGCACUGCAGCAUCCCAAAUUUCGUUCUCCUUCCUCUUCUCCCUAUGAACCUCUCUCCCUUGUCGAUUCAAGCUCUCCCUCACCGGUCCUCAUACUCAAGUGUUAUUCGUAGAGCUGCAGAUGCCAUUACAAAUCUUUCCCAUGAGAACAUUUUCAUCAAAACGCGGGUUAGGAUGGAAGGUGGGAAUAUUCCUCCACUUGUUGAGUUGCUUGAAUUUACUGACACAAAGGUUGAAAGAGCUACUGCUGGGGCAUUAUGAACAUUGGCCUUUAAGAACGAUGAGAAUAAAAACUAGAUUGUUGAGUGCAAUGCUCUCCCCACACUGAUUUUGAUCCUUCGUUUUGAGGAUAUUGCUAUACAUUAUGAAGCGGUAGAAUUUUCCCAAGUCACAAACUGGAAUAUUUAGUACUUUUUAAUGGAGCGAUAUUUGGUUUGCAUUCUAUAAAAUAUAAAUUGUGCACUCAUGCCCCAAUAUAAAAAGAGAAGUUCUUAUCGCAGGAGCUUGCAAUCUGUUAUUGAAUUACUCAGUUCUUGUUGCUCUGAGAGCCAAAGGGAGGCAACAUUAUUACUUGGACAAUUUGCGGCAACUGAUUUGGAUUGUAAGAUUCAUAUUGUACAAAGAGAUGUUGUUUGACCCUUAAUUGAGAUGCUUCAGUCACCUGAUGUACAGCUUCGAGAAAUGUCAACUUUUGCGUUGGGGAGGUUGGUACAAAAGGCGAGGGAUGGAUGGUUGGGUGUCUCUCAGAGGUUUGCUACUGAGUAUAACAGGUAUUUCUACUAUCAUUCGAACUGCGUUAAGAAAUUAAACUAUUUUGAUAGCUACGUGAGCAACCAUUCCACGUAUUCUCUCUUAUUUUUUUGAUAACUAUGUGAGCAACCAUCCACUAAUUCUUAAAGUAUGUUUGUAAGCUUUCAACCUAACCUCAUUUCCACUAAUUUCUAAAGAGGAGUUCAAGUAUUGAUUACUCAAAUAGAAGAUGCCCGGAUUCUUGUUGCAGAUUUGGGUAUCAUAGACUUUAGUUGUCACUAAUAUAAUCACGUCCUUUCCCUGACCUAUUAAAUCUCUAGUAAUCAAAACCAGAUUUUUGGUGUUAAGUUUGCAUAAGAGUCAUCUAUUUUUCUUAUAUUCUUAUAUUCAUUUCUCUUUGAUGGAGUUAUUUUCUGCUCAAAGCAGUGAAUUUUGCCAGUCCAUGAAUUUUAUCCUUGGUGAGGUAAUUGUUACUUCUGCCUUUUUAAUUUAUCAUUUAAGCAAGAAAGAAAGAAAGAAAGAAAGAAAGAAGUGGUUGAUCAAUUAAUUUGAUUUCUGUAGUUAUUACUUGAAGGGCUUUGAGUUCUGAUUCAAGUUGUGUAAUAUAAUGAAGUUGUUUGAGUCGGUACUUUUGAGAGUAUUGUCUACUUUGCAUCACCCUAGCAAACAAAAACAAUUAACCCAUGAGUAAAAAAAAAACCAUGAAUAUAUGUAUAUAUGUACGACGACGUACGUGCAUGGAUAAAAAGCAAUUUAAGCAAUUAUUUUCUCUUGAAUUGUUUGUCUACCCAACAAGUUCCCGGUAUACUUUUUUUUCUUAAUAUUUGGUAUCCCUAAUUAUAUGUUGAAAGAUGGUGGGAGAUUAUUCUUCCAAAAGUAGCUCCCUUUCUUUACAAUAAUGGAGGCCCUGCAAUAAUGGUCUAGGUAUGUAAAAUUAUUAUUUUUAGCACAUCUUCUAUGGUUAAGGUAUGUGAUUUGGACUUAUUCUUUGUGCAUUAUUUGUCAAGAACUUUUUAAGCUUCCUAUACUACUGGAAACAUCUUGUUUUUAAAUGUCUUUAGGGUAGUCUCUUUGUCCACUUUCACUCUUCAUGGGUCGAAAGUAUAGCUUCCCUUCUUUACAUUAUGUAUUUUUUUUAGGUGUCCUUUGGCAUCGAAAGAUUAUUACGAUUGGACUUGAAGUUAAAUUUGUAGAGACAAUGUGCGCUAAAAGUUGUUCUCAGCCGUCUACUUCAAAUCCCAGCACUUCAUAAUCCAUUUUCAUUGAAAAUGUUUUGACAUAAUUCAUUGGAGCAAUGAAGCCAUAUUUACGCCAAUUCAUUGAUGUAUAACUUUUUUGUAGGUUUGGUGGAUUUUUUUUGUUUAAAUGUAGUUAUUUAAAUAGUUUGUUCGUACCAAAACACAUUUGUACCAACAAUUAAAGCAAUAUUACAAAGUGUGUUUCUUUC